UUCCUGAUAGCUCAGUUGGUAAAGAAUCUGUCUGGAAUGCAGGAGACCCCAGUUCAAUUCCUGGGUCAGGAA
rnacentral:tRNA from 1 species